AUUAUAAAUAAAAUUAGGGCUGAGAACAAAUAAUUAAAUCAGAAAUAGCAGGUGAUUAAGAUGAAAUAAUUACAUCAAAUAAUUGCGUCUUUAGGAGGGUAUUAAACAAGAAAAGUAAUGUUGAUGGUUUAGAGAUUUGAAUCAAAUGAUUAGAAGAAAA
rnacentral:misc_RNA from 1 species